AAAGUUUUAAGUUAAUUAAACUAUUAACCUUCAAAGUUAAAAUUAUUAAACUUUU
rnacentral:tRNA from 1 species